CGGAUGCGAUUUUGUUUACAGGGCAAUGGUCCUCCCGGUUACCCUCUGCCAGGAAUCCAGGCUCUUUUCCCAGAAAUAAUGCUCUUCCAAAGGGUAGAUAAAUAUCCCCUCCCAUUAUAUGGAGAGUUAAUAAGAUAACCUGAGAACUGCAGGCACACACCCAAGGGCAGCGCAUGGCUGGAGCAUGACCCUGUCACGGGAAGACCGAGGGCGUGGACGACACCAGACAGGUGACCGGAGAGCAGCGCACAGACCUCGGCGCCAACCGGGACUGGCUGCGGCACAGGCGGAGGCGGGAGGAGCAAGGAGGCACCUGACUAACAUGAGGAAAAUUCCUGGGUACAUCACCCCCAGUUGAAUGUCUAAGGAGAUUGUUCUGACCAUGAACGACAUAUUCCAAUUUGGGGUUUUAUUUAAAAUCCCUGCAUUGAAAAACUUGAAAGACUCAAGAGAUACUUUGUGGGUCCAGCUACUGAUUCAAGAGAAAAUUGCUAUGUUAAUAGUAGUCAUUUAUAUGACAAAAUUAUAAUAUUCCAAUAUUUUCUGCAAUAAUGAUUCAUCCCAUACAGCCGCA